UACGUAGGGGGCAAGCGUUGUCCGGAAUUAUUGGGCGUAAAGAGCGCGUAGGCGGUCCGAUAAGUCGGCUGUGAAAGUCAGGGGCUCAACCCUUGGAAGCCGGCCGAUACUGUCGGACUAGAGUCCGGAAGAGGCGAGUGGAAUUCCCGGUGUAGCGGUGAAAUGCGCAGAUAUCAGGAGGAACACCGAUGGCGAAGGCAGGUCUCUGGGCAUUAACUGACGCUGAGGAGCGAAAGCAUGGGGAGCGAACAGG
rnacentral:rRNA from 1 species